GCUUCUUACGGUAAAGGUUCAACCCUCUUUGUUUUCCAAUUUAGGCCCCUCCAUCUUCUUUGUAAUAUUAAAUUUCAAUUCAUUUUUCUGGGAUUUUUCUCCCCUUGGUUUGACCCAGGCCAGAACAGGGACUAAUUAACGGCACCUCGACACCCAUUUAGCUCACAGGUUGUUUGCCGGUCACAAAGUGAUGGCGGUGGUCGCCGUGUUUGGAGUCGGAAAUUGGCGAAGAAGGAUGAAAUGUU